UGGGGAAUAUUGGACAAUGGGGGCAACCCUGAUCCAGCCAUGCCGCGUGUGUGAAGAAGGCCCUUGGGUUGUAAAGCACUUUCAGUGGGGAGAAAAGUCUGCCACCUAAUACGUGAUGGAAUUGAUGUUACCCACAGAAGAAGCACCGGCUAACUCCGUGCCAGCAGCCGCGGUAAUACGGAGGGUGCAAGCGUUAAUCGGAAUUACUGGGCGUAAAGCGCACGUAGGUGGUUUACUAAGCCAGCUGUGAAAUCCCCGGGCUCAACCUGGGCACUGCAGUUGGAACUGGUAAGCUAGAGUAUGGUAGAGGGGUGUGGAAUUCCAGGUGUAGCGGUGAAAUGCGUAGAUAUCUGGAGGAACAUCAGUGGCGAAGGCGACACCCUGGACUAAUACUGACACUGAGGUGCGAAAGCGUGGGGAGCAAACAG
rnacentral:rRNA from 1 species